rnacentral:rRNA from 1 species
UGGGGAUGGGCUCGCGGCCUAUCAGCUUGUUGGGUGGGGUGAUGGCCUGCCAAGGUCUUUGGACGGGUAGCCGGCCUGAGAGGGUGGGCGGUCACACGUGGGACUGAGACGACCGGCCCAGACCUCCGUACGGGAGGCAGCAGGUGGGGAAUAUUGCACAAUGGGCGCAAGCCUGAUGCAGCGACGCCGCGUGAGGGAUGGAGGCCUUCGGGUUGUGAACCUCUUUCGCCAGUGAAGAAGGUCCUGCUCUUUGUGGUGGGGUUGACGGUAGCUGGGUUAAUGAAGCGCCGGCUAACUAC